GACAGAGGGUGCGAGUGUUAAUCGGAAUGAUUGGGCGUAAAGGGCGCGUAGGUGGCUCAACAGGUUUAAUGUUAAAGACCCAGGCUUAACCUGGGGGAUGCGUUGAAAACGGUUGAGCUCGAGUGAGAGAGAGGGUUGUGGAAUUUCUAGUGGAGCGGUGAAAUGCGUAGAGAUUAGAAGGAACACCAGUGGCGAAGGCGGCAACCUGGCUCUUAACUGACACUGAGGCGCGAAGGCGUGGGGAGCAAACAGG
rnacentral:rRNA from 1 species